CCGGAAGAGAAGGAGUGGGUGACAAGUCGCCACGUGUGAGUGAUGGAGUACUCUCAUUGACCUGCCUGCUGCGAGUCUGUAGUGUCUGGCUCAGAUAUUUCUCACUCCAGGAUUGGUGAUUAGUGUUAGCACAAGUUCCCCUGCAGCAGGUGGGAAAUCCAGCUUUUAUAAUUCAAAUUCUACAUUUUAAUAAGUUAAAAUCCAGUCAGUCACACAUGUCCUGCUUUAUCCCUUGUUUUAUAUUCCUGGCCUUCAUCUAGUCUUGUCAUUUGCUACAGUUUAGUAAAUCUACACCUGCAAGUCAUUCAUUAUUGUGAAUCCUCAAUCAUGUAUUCUACAUGCUGCAGGGCUGUGUACCUGCAGACAAUCUGGCAUGUGUUAUUAUUAUUAUUAUUAUUGCCAUUUAUAUAGCGCUAACAGAUUUCGCAGCGCUUUGCCAGUCAACAGGAAGAAGUGAUGUGUCUUUUGCCCAGGAAAAUAUUCUGCAUUUAGCAACCCGGUCCUAGUUAUAGGUGCCAUAGUCACCAUAUUUUCCUAUAAACCGAUCACUUGUUGAUAUCGAUGGGUAUUUUUAUAAAAUGUGCUGUCGUGCAGCAUUUGAAUUCUAAUUUCUGUAGGACAUUACCUAUGAAUAAGUAUAUUUGAAGUAUUGCCUGUGAAUAAGUAUGUCAUGUGCCCAGGAUAAACCUACUGGAACUACCUAUUUUACCUGAGGGCGCUGAAACAAAUUACUGGUUUCAGAGUAUAGGAAAAGCAGAGCUGCAUUAUGUUUCUUGUAAUGCUCAACCAGAAAAUUGAGAUGCAUUAGUUGUCCCUGCAUGCAGGCUUUGUUAAAUGCUGUUUUGCAGAGCACUUCCCUACUGAUUUUUUUUUUUUUUUUUUUUGCCUGGAGCUGGUCACUAAAGAGUCUCACCAGAUGGGUUUUUUAAAUCUAAAUAUUUUUCUCUUUUCCAGGUUGUCCCAACGUCUUCUACUCCCUAGAUCGCAUGAAACUAGCUAAAUCCUGCAGCCAAAUACCUGAAUUGGAGGACUAAUUUUGUCCAUGAUGGUUUUAGUAUAAUUUGUAUUUGUUGUAAGUUUGUUCUUUUUCUCAAUAAAUUUCAAGAAACUAUAAAAA